rnacentral:rRNA from 1 species
GAUGAACGCUGGCGGCGUGCCUAUACCUGCAAGUCGAGCGAACAGAUGAGGAGCUUGCUCCUCUGACGUUAGCGGCGGACGGGUGAGUAACACGUGGAUAACCUACCUAUAAGACUGGGAUAACUUCGGGAAACCGGAGCUAAUACCGGAUAAUAUAUUGAACCGCAUGGUUCAAUAGUGAAAGACGGUUUUGCUGUCACUUAUAGAUGGAUCCGCGCCGCAUUAGCUAGUUGGUAAGGUAACGGCUUACCAAGGCAACGAUGCGUAGCCGACCUGAGAGGGUGAUCGGCCACACUGGAACUGAGACACGGUCCAGACUCCUACGGGAGGCAGCAGUAGGGAAUCUUCCGCAAUGGGCGAAAGCCUGACGGAGCAACGCCGCGUGAGUGAUGAAGGUCUUCGGAUCGUAAAACUCUGUUAUUAGGGAAGAACAAAUGUGUAAGUAACUAUGCACGUCUUGACGGUACCUAAUCAGAAAGCCACGGCUAACUACGUG